rnacentral:lncRNA from 1 species
CUUACCCAACCCCUCCAAACCUAUCUCACUAACAAAUUUCCUCCUAAUGCAUUUAAAGAUAUCUCAUUCAAUCUUUCUCUCAAUUUCUUUAAUCUUCAUCAUCCUUAUCCAUUCUUAAUCCCCAAUCCCCUGCACUACCAUAGACGAAACAUUUCUCUCUAAAUACAAGCACUCCCAUAGUCACUUGCCGCCAUUGUGAAACACAUAUGAUGUCGCUACUGCGUAAUAGAGUUGCCGCCAUUGUGAAACACAUAUGAUGUCGCCACUGCGAAAAGAGCCGCCGCCACCGCUGUGAAACAGAGUCGCCGCCGCCACACCCUCAACCUCUCCUAAAGCCUCCAUACCUAUCUCAUUCUUGAAUAUCUCUGGUGCCUCCAUAAAAACACAAACCUCUCCACUCAACCCUUGCCCAAUUUCUUUCACAUCGGUUUCCUCCCAGGACCGUCUUCCAGUCCCAGCACCGUCGUCCGUCCUCCCAGUUCUGCCUCUCAUUGGUACCUGUUUAACCAAGAGGGCAUAUAGUACUAAUCAUGUGGAGACACUGCGAGCUCCAACAACACAAACACACAGGUUCAACAUAUGAACCGCUAGAAAUUUUGUUUUUUUAUUAUGAUUGCGUUCCAAAUAUCAUUUUAUGGUUAUCAUAAUGCAGAAAUCAUGAAAAUGUGGCAGACAGAUGGAAAUGGGUGUUAUUUUAUGCACAUUGUGUUUAGCAUGCCAAUUAGCUUCUUUACUCCAAGAUAUUAGUCAAUGUUUUGCAAGAAGUAACCAAAUUUGAAGAUGAUGAUAAUUCGGUAUGGCUUGGAAAAUGAAGAUAUUUUUGGUACCUUAGACUACUGGAGGACACCCUUUCAUUACAUCAAAUCAGAUUAUUAUAUAUUCUGAGGUUUAGGAUAAUUUUGUAAACUACAACUGAGAGUCAUUAUUGUUCAUUUGUUAAUGUGAUCAUUGUCAUUCCAUGUAAACAAGAACAAGAUGUCAUGUUUCUUCUCAUUACCUUUAGAAAAUUUUUAUAGGCUAUGCAGUGAGAUUCUAAAUUUCAUUACAUUUGUAUAGGCUAUAAAGUAUUUAUAUUGAAUAUUCAAAAUUGAUCCCCUCAUUUAUAAUUGAAGUAUUGAAAAACUAAAGCAU